CGAGGGGCUCCUCAGAGGAGACGAGGAAGGAGUCCAUGCUGCCCCCUCCAAAAAGCUGACGUCUGUCGUCACGCAGGGCCAAAGGCUUGCUCUCAUCGUGGUAGCCAAACACCGUGAGCAAAACCUGUGAUUGAAAUUGUGGUGCCGGCAUCCAAGCGAAAGCCUGUGUAGACGGUGACUAUGUAAUGGCAGUCAGGGUUGGGGCUUAACUUGUGUCCAGUCGGUGUAGUCAGACCCACCUACAAGUGAUGUCACAAUGAUCUCCAAGGAUUUCCAAGGAUCUAUAGAUCAAUGGUCUUUCAAUGAACAAUUAUUCUACAAUCCUGUUAUCAGCACUUUAUUCUUGCCAAUUUCAUCACAACAUAGCAGAAGUAACAGGUACAUCUUUUUCCAUGGCUUCUGUCCAACUUUUGUUCAAUAACACAAAGCAUGGUUAUCAAAUUAUGAAGGCAUAGUUACUAAAAAGUGAUUAAAACAGUUAAUAAUGAAAACAAGUUGAUCAGAAGUAUAAGACAUGACACCAUACCUAGUAAGACAGAAAUCUGUAUCUGUCCUUGGUGCUGAAGAACAUUACUUAAUACAUAAUCAUUAUGGUACAACUAGCAAAAUGUUAUACAAAUGCAAACUACAAAAACAACUAAUGUUACAUUAUGUAAAGGAGUGGCAAUAAACUUAGUUGCAGCUAGUACAUGACUAAGUGUACUAAGAACAAAAUAUAUAUCAUUCUUAGAUCGGCAGACUUUCACAGUCACAACAGUAAUAGAACUUUUUUUCAAGUUUUAGAAUUGAAGGAAUGCAGGGUAACUAACCUUUG